GGGAACUGGGGUUGGAUCACCUCCUUACCUUAAUGAUGACGAAGUUGUUGAGUGUUCACACAGAUUGCCUUGAUUCAAAUUAGUUAGAGCAAAGACCUGGUGCGCAAGCAUCAGUGCUUGUUUGGCUAGCGCCAAACGAGGGAAGCCCUUUUGUUGGGUGUUGGGAUGUGAAUAAUGGCUCGAGCCGUUACCCAAUCACCUGCGCGCAAGCGCAAAGACAAAUCCGGGUCCCCUUCGUCUAGAGGCCUAGGACACCGCCCUUUCACGGCGGUAACAGGGGUUCGAAUCCCCUAGGGGACGCCUCUUCUCUUCGUGCUAACAAGAAUGCAGAGUUAAGAACUGAUUCUUAACUCUGUUUUCUUCAACCUUGUGCUGUUGCAAACAUGCUCUUUAACAAUCUGGAAAGCUGAUUUAAAAAGUAGUUCUCAAACAUUUGUUACAAGUGCUUUGGAAACUUCUUGGCGAAAACCAAAUUUUAUUUGGUCCUUGUUGUGCAUGAACUUGAAUGCCGUUUCGACGACACUUGUGGGGGUUUUAUGGUUAAGUGACUAAGCGUACAUGGUGGGAUGCCUU
rnacentral:tRNA from 1 species